rnacentral:tRNA from 1 species
UCUAAAAGUAAGUUAAAAAAACUUCUGGAUUCAUACUCCAAUUUUGAUUUUUGUCCUUUUAGAA